GUCUUUUUGAGUUUAAUUUAAAGUCUAAUCUGCCCACUGAUAAUAUUUAAGGGCCGCAGUAUUCUGACUGUGCAAAGGUAGCAUAAUCAUUAGUCUUUUAAUUGAGGGCUUGUAUGAAUGAUUGGACGAGAUAUAAUCUGUCUCAUAAAAAUUUAAGUAGAAUUUUAUUUUUUAGUUAAAAAGCUAAAAUAAAUUUAAAAGACGAGAAGACCCUAUAGAUCUUUAUAAUUUAUUUAUUAAUUUUUUUAGGUUAUUUUUUAAUUUUAUAAAUUAAAUUAUUUUGUUGGGGUGACAGUGAAAUUUAUAAAACUUUCAUAAUUUUUUUUAACAUUGAUUUAUGAUAGAUUGAUCCAUUUUUAGUGAUUAAAAAUUUAAGUUACCUUAGGGAUAACAGCGUAAUUAUUUUGGAGAGUUCUUAUCGAUAAAAUAGUUUGCGACCUCGAUGUUGGAUUAAGAUUAAUUCUGGGUGUAGCAGUUCAGGUUAUUAAGUCUGUUCGACUUUUAAUUUCUU
rnacentral:rRNA from 1 species